UACGUAGGUGGCAAGCGUUGUCCGGAAUUAUUGGGCGUAAAGCGCGCGCAGGUGGUUCCUUAAGUCUGAUGUGAAAGCCCCCGGCUCAACCGGGGAGGGUCAUUGAAACUGGGGAACUUGAGUGCAGAAGAGGAAAGCGGAAUUCCACGUGUAGCGGUGAAAUGCGUAGAGAUGUGGAGGAACACCAGUGGCGAAGGCGGCUUCUGGUCUGUAACUGACGCUGAGGCGCGAAAGCGUGGGGAGCAAACAGG
rnacentral:rRNA from 1 species